rnacentral:misc_RNA from 1 species
AACGCACAUUGCGCUUCCUGGUAUUCCGGGGAGCAUGCCCGUUUCAGAAUCAUUUAAAUCUCACUGCCUGCUGGGCCCCUACCCCUGUGGUGGAAACCCGGAAGAAAGUGGAUCUGGAUAUAUUGUAACAUUUUCUUUGCAAUUGUCUAAAUAUGAUUGUAUGUGCUCCAAUAGGAACAUCUAUUGGCUCUCCAAAGUGCAACAGAUACAUCUAUUUCUCUUUGGUGGGCCUUUUGUCAUUCCUGUUGUUGGGCGUGUCUACAAGUCUUUGACAGGCGGUGUGCUGGGCAACAGUACGUCGUCUGAUAACUUGGUCUGAAAUCGGGCAAGAAAACCCGCUGAACUUAA